rnacentral:tRNA from 1 species
UUCGGAAUGGUGCAGUUGGAUAGCACGCAAGCCUAGUGAGCUUGAAGUCGCUGGUUCGAAUCCAGCUUCUGAAU